rnacentral:rRNA from 1 species
GACGAACGCUGGCGGCGUGCUUAACACAUGCAAGUCGAACGGAAAGGCCCUGCUUUUGUGGGGUGCUCGAGUGGCGAACGGGUGAGUAACACGUGAGUAACCUGCCCUUGACUUUGGGAUAACUUCAGGAAACUUGGGCUAAUACCGGAUAGGAUCUCCUGCUGCAUGGUGGUGGUUGGAAAGUUUCGGCGGUUGGGGAUGGACUCGCGGCUUAUCAGCUUGUUUGUGGGGUAGUGGCUUACCAAGGCUUUGACGGGUAGCCGGCCUGAGAGGGUGAACGGGAAGAUGGGGACUGAGAUACGGACCAGACUGCAACGGGAGGCAGCAGUGGGGAAUAUUGCACAAUGGGAGGAAGCCUGAUGAAGAAACGCAGCGUGCGGGAUGACGGCCUACGGGUUGUAAACAGCUUUAGCAUGUGACGAAGCGUGAGUGACGGUAAUGGGUAAAGAAGCACCGGCUAACUACGUG